GACGAACGCUGGCGGCGUGCUUAGCACAUGCAAGUCGAACGGAAAGGCCCUGCUUUUGUGGGGUGCUCGAGUCGCGAACGGGUGAGUAACACGUGAGUAACCUGCCCUUGACUUUGGGAUAACUUCAGGAAACUGGGGCUAAUACCGGAUAGGAGCUCCUGCUGCAUGGUGGGGGUUGGAAAGUUUCGGCGGUUGGGGAUGGACUCGCGGCUUAUCAGCUUGUUGGUGGGGUAGUGGCUUACCAAGGCUUUGACGGGUAGCCGGCCUGAGAGGGUGACCGGCCACAUUGGGACUGAGAUACGGCCCAGACUCCUACGGGAGGCAGCAGUGGGGAAUAUUGCACAAUGGGCGGAAGCCUGAUGCAGCAACGCCGCGUGCGGGAUGACGGCCUUCGGGUUGUAAACCGCUUUCGCCUGUGACGAAGCGUGAGUGACGGUAAUGGGUAAAGAAGCACCGGCUAACUACGUG
rnacentral:rRNA from 1 species